rnacentral:rRNA from 1 species
GAUGAACGCUGGCGGCGUGCCUAAUACAUGCAAGUCGAGCGAACAGACGAGGAGCUUGCUCCUCUGACGUUAGCGGCGGACGGGUGAGUAACACGUGGAUAACCUACCUAUAAGACUGGGAUAACUUCGGGAAACCGGAGCUAAUACCGGAUAAUAUAUUGAACCGCAUGGUUCAAUAGUGAAAGAAGGUUUUGCUGUCACUUAUAGAUGGAUCCGCGCCGCAUUAGCUAGUUGGUAAGGUAACGGCUUACCAAGGCGACGAUGCGUAGCCGACCUGAGAGGGUGAUCGGCCACACUGGAACUGAGACACGGUCCAGACUCCUACGGGAGGCAGCAGUAGGGAAUCUUCCGCAAUGGGCGAAAGCCUGACGGAGCAACGCCGCGUGAGUGAUGAAGGUCUUCGGAUCGUAAAACUCUGUUAUUAGGGAAGAACAAAUGUGUAAGUACCUAUGCACGUCUUGACGGUACCUAAUCAGAAAGCCACGGCUAACUACGUG